CCCUUCUACUGAACAUUUCCCACAUGAAUGGGAGCUACUCUGCCAGAGUAGCACUUCAAAUUGACCUUGUCCAGCACAUUUUAACCAUGGCUGCUUAGGAGUUAAUUAAUUUCUCCUUCCCCACUGACUGGCACAUGCAGGAUGGUCAGGUAGACCCUGCAAUUAACAGGGAGAGAGUUACAAUUCAUUGUAAUCUCUCUCACAUAUAGUGCUCAAUAAAUACAUUUGAUUGCAGCUUUGAUGGAGCUGCUGGAGCUCCAGAGGGCUCAUGAAAUCAGUGUGUUCAGUCAAUUUUUAACCUGCAGAAGCAACUAGUGAAAGGUGUAGAUCCAUUUGUUGGGAAAACAGCUGAAUUGGAGAAAUGAAACAUCUCACCAGGAACAAAUAUUGUUUGACAAGGUCGGGGGUAGCAAAUACUUUUCACGGUAUUUUUCUGCCUGAGGCACCUCCCAGUUGCUGCCAAAAUAAUAUACAGGAGGGAUGAUAGUAACAGUGGUGAGAUGGGAUUAUUGACAGUUUUCCCCUGUUUUUUCUUCUUUGCCUCUCAUCACAGCCACCAGCACAGCAUGGGGAAAAAACCCUCCAUGAGAAGCUCUUUUGCUGCCUUUUUGCUAAAUUAACCUGCACAAGGGUGAUUGUCGUGGAGGAGGAAUGGGAUUAGCCUUUCCAAACCCCUCUGAUCCCCAGUUCUGCAGGAGUCUUGAGAUUCCUCUGGAGAUAUUUUUCACUUGCAGUAAGUGCAGAGGCAUCCACGGGCUCCUUCCAAAGGUCUGGGGAGGGUUACUAAGGAAAGCCAAGCUACUGCAGCCCCUUAGGGGAAAUCCUGGGGGUUUCUAAAAUGGAGAGGCUUCUGAACACCCCCUUGGAGUGGAGGUACAACCAGGUGGAGCUGUGCCCCUGUCUGAGCCUGCUGACUCCUGCCUCCCAGCUCUGCACAGACUUGCCAGCUGUGGCUGCCCACAGAAACAGCCUCCAUAACCUAAAGGGAGGUUUGUGAUUCCAGACAAGCCUUGCUGCACCACCUGUGCUGGGGCAGGUCUUUCUCCUCCUCACUCCUUAGAAUUCACCCAUUUGUUUUGUCUGUCUGCUGGGUCUGGCAGGAGAGUCUCUGUAAGUCCGAGGAGCAGGUCACAGCUAUGCAGGAACUGAACCUUUUUAAUUUAGGAAAGGGCUGGAACUGCCGUGGGAAGCCUGAGAUGGAUUUCUUCUAAAGUUUUUUUGUACCAUUUGGGUGAAGUGAAGACAACUUGACAUAGCCUGACUUCAUGAGAAAGCCAAGAGACCAGCCCAACAGUGGUAAAAUGUCUGUGGUCUCCAAAUCUGCCCUAAUUUGAAUUUGAAAGUGAGCUCCAAAGCUCUGUUGCUCACUUUUGAAACUACAACCUUCUCCUUGUGGAAGUGAAGUUCAAGCAGUCACCAGCUUGAAGGCUCUUAGAUCCCCAUCCCUGUAAAGAAUAAACUCUGCCUUCCCACCACCCUGCUCUGCAGGGGAACAUCAGUGCCUGUGGAUGAAGCUCUGGGAGGAUUUUUUUCAGCUUCCUGUAGUUAUCUCAAACCUUCAUCUCUAAAAUGCAAAGGCUUUUAUAGACUUUGUAUUCUAUUAGUGUAACACCGAAUGCCCUCGUUCUUCAGGUAUUUAUAGCAACUUCUGCAACUCCCAUAAUAACUCUUCGUGGCUCAGCACCUCACAACAUGAUGUCUUGUUAUCCCCAUUUCACAGAUGUGGAAAUAGGGCACAUGGAAAUUAAGUGAUUUCUGCAGGAUCUCCUAUAACCCACUGCAGUGCCUUGACUGUAACACCACCUUCAUCUGAGUUUCAGCUCAGAUUAUUAUUAGGCUUCAGAACUCUGCUGCAGCUUGAUUUAUAGAAACUGCUUAGUCACUGGCAGCAGUGCUGUUCUGGGAGUGGGAGAGAUGCUCGCUGGUGUUUCAUCAGAGGCUCCUGCCAAGAAGCAGACACUGCCCUUGACAGAUCAUUGAGAGCUGAUGGCCCAAGUGGGAGUGAUGAGGAAGGUGAAGUGAUGCAGCCUCAGACUCUGGUCCCCACCAAAAGAUGCAGCUCCCAAGGCUCCAGUUUGACCAGGGAACACACAGAUCUGCAGGAGCACUGUCUGCUGAGAAACACGGCCCCAAAGGAGCCCUGUGGCUGUCCUGGCCUCUUGGCAGCACAGAUGGGCAUCUCCAGCAGCCUGAAUUCCAGCUCCUGGCUCUGCUAUCCCAGUGACAGCAGCACAUUUGCAUAAGGAGCCACUGGUAAUUGCACGUUCUGUGGUGGGAUCUGUGCGAAGACACACACUGGCACUGGACUGUGAACCUCCCUCCCAAACCAGGAUAGCUGCAGGACGAGGAGAGCUCUGCUGGACUGCCCAGGGACAAAGCACGAUGGCAUUUACACCUCGGCUGAUCUUCCCUGUGUUGUGGGGUGGGAAAUGGGCAGGACAAGGGCUCACAAUGGUGUCUCCUGCCUGUGGGAUAGCAUGAGGGGGAGCAGAGCUACUGAGGCAGCUGAAUUCCAUGUUCCUUGCACGUCCCUUCCAACUGAAUUAUUCUAAAUCUAUUUCUAUUUUCACCAUCCAUCACCCAGAACCACAGAGUUUUGCCUGUAGUAGUCAAAUGUCUUCAUCUGAAGGGCUGUGUGGUCCAGGGAGUUGUGUUAUCCCUUCACCACCGCAUGUGGAAAGUGGGAAAAGGCAGCAAAGGAAAGGAAGCUGGGAGGGAGUUGCAGGGGAGUCUGCUGAGAUGCCCAAGGAUGGCUCAGAAGCAGAAGGAGCUACAGCAGCUCUCCUGUCCUAGGAAGGGCACUGAAGCUGUUCACUCGACUACUGAUGGUCCUUAUUUCCCCCAAUCUACCUUUAAGAGCCCUCUAAAAGCUCCAGCUCUUCCAGACUGGGGAAUGCAUAAAAUGUGAGAUGUAUUAGAUGCAUUGGGCAAUAGCAGCAAACUUACAGGAAACAGGAGAAUCAACAGCAACAACAACAAAAAGGAAAUCUUGAAAUUUGGCAGAAAAAAUGUAGUGCAAACCCCACAAGAAGGCAUCUUUGUACAAAGCCACUUACAGAUGCAUUCCUUAAAGGUAAUCCCUUCAGACAGUGUGAGGCUGCCAUUUCUUUGAAAGAUAUUAAAGCAGCUGUUGCUAGAAUACAGAGAAUUACUGAGCUAUCUGUCAGAGGAUGGACAUUUGUAAUGCUAUAUCUACUUUUAAAAAAAAAAUAAAUUUACAGUUUAUUUUGAUACCAAAUUUCCAGCUACUGAAGGUUAAUUGAGACUGCAAACAAAAUCUCACUAUCCACUGAUCUGCCAAAUCAAAUUUUUUCUCCUGUAAGUAUAGUGUUUUUCCUUAGCUUCAGUGAGGAAAAGAAUUAUGCAGAAUGAAUGAGAAAGAAAAGGGAUUAGUUUGUAUAAUGACCAUAGCAGCCAUCUCUCCCUUGAUCUGUCCUAGUUCAUUCUCAAAGAUGCAAAUGAUUAUUAUUGUAAUUUAGAACAGAGCUUGUUUAUUUUCCUUCUGCUGUAUCUGCUUACUACUCUCCAAUUAACACAUAUUUUAAUAAAAACUAAAUAUCCUGACUCUAGCUGGGAUAUUGGGUGACCCCAGCUGAGAUAUGGAUGUGGCAAGA